rnacentral:snRNA from 2 species
AGCCACGCAGUGAGCACAAAGCGAACUAUUCUUUCGCCUUUUACUAAAGAAUACCGUGUGAGCGCUGCAAUUAGUGGCAUACGCCAAUUUUUGGAGGGAUUUUCUUCUUUAGAGGAU